UUUCCGCAAUGGGCGAAAGCUGACGGAGCAAUACCGCGUGAGGGAAGACUGCCUAUGGGUUGUAAACCUCUUUUUUCAGGGAGGAAUAAAAUGACGUGUACCUGAAGAAUAAGCAUCGGCUAACUCCGUGCCAGCAGCCGCGGUAAGACGGAGGAUGCAAGUGUUAUCCGGAAUCACUGGGCGUAAAGCGUCUGUAGGUGGUUUAAUAAGUCAACUGUUAAAUCUUGAGGCUCAACUUCAAAAUCGCAGUCGAAACUAUUAGACUAGAGUAUAGUAGGGGUAAAGGGAAUUUCCAGUGGAGCGGUGAAAUGCGUAGAUAUUGGAAAGAACACCGAUGGCGAAAGCACUUUACUGGGCUAUUACUAACACUCAGAGACGAAAGCUAGGGUAGCAAAUGGGAUUAGAUACCCCAGUAGUCCUAGCCGUAAACUAUGGAUACUAGAUGUUGAACAGAUCGACCUGUGCAGUAUCAAAGCUAACGCGUUAAGUAUCCCGCCUGGGAAGUAUGCUCGCAAGAGUG
rnacentral:rRNA from 1 species